CUCAUUUACUUACUUACUCGUCUGAGCCUU
rnacentral:piRNA from 1 species